rnacentral:lncRNA from 1 species
GAGGCUUCUUCAAACACACCUGGAAGCUAACAGUUGUCACGUUCACAUCCAUCUCCCAGCAAACAAUCAUGGAUCACCAAACCAUAAAUCAUCAGUGAAUGGAUUUUCAUCUACGUGCUUUGGCCUUUGGAAUAAAGGGCUCUUGGACUGAAGUAGAGCUGAAGCCACAGACAAGGAAGAGAUGCCAAGGUAAACGAAGCAGAUCCGCUGCCAGGGUGACACAGAGAAGGACGAGAUGUGCACUGACAAGGCGCCUGAAUAUAUAUUUUUCUGAACUAUGAUGAAUUUUUUUUCAACAGAGUCAGUAUUCUGACCACUGUCCCACAUUGACACUUUUAUUAUCUGUAGCUCAAUUUCAUGGAGCAGAUUUGGUUUUCUUUUCCAACUGUAAGAUUCUUUUCAAAACAAAUCAGCCUCACUCUCUGGUGGCGCCUUUGUUUCGUUCCUCUUCCUAGAAGGACAUUUCUUGAGGACUGAAUUCAUGUAGCUCUAUGAGGAAUAAGAUCACUCAUUUUCUCCAAGAAGCCUCUUGUUUCACCCCACUUCUUUCCGAAGAAGCAAGCCUUCGUUUUUAUUAUGAGAAGGAAAAAGAGUAAAAGAUAAUAUUUAUUGAAUGCUAACUCUGUAACAGGCAACUUCUAGCAUAAGGGAAGUUAUUUAUCACAAUAGCCUUAGGAGGUUAGUGCUAACAUCAUCCUCAUAUUACAGAGAAGCAAGGUCAGACUCAGAGAUGUGUAGGAAGAAGUAGCUUGCCCAAGAUCAUAAGUUCAUAAGUGGCAGAGUCAGGAUUUGAACUCAGGUCAUUCUGGCCACAGAGUCUGGGUUCUUAGUCACCAUGCAACACUACCGCUCCUGACACAACCUCAGUUUUCACAUCUCAUGUCGCGUAACAUUCCUCAUCUCCCUGGAUACUGAAGGUGACUGACACAGAAGAGGACAGACGAGAAGCUGUUCCUAUGAC